AACCUGCCCAAGAGAUCGGGAUAACACCUGGAAACAGAUGCUAAUACCGGAUAAUAACAGAUGAUGCCUAUCAACUGUUUAAAAGAUGGUUCUGCUAUCACUCUUGGAUGGACCUGCGGUGCAUUAGCUAGUUGGUAGGGUAACGGCCUACCAAGGCGAUGAUGCAUAGCCGAGUUGAGAGACUGAUCGGCCACAUUGGGACUGAGACACGGCCCAAACUCCUACGGGAGGCAGCAGUA
rnacentral:rRNA from 1 species